AUUGAACGCUGGCGGCAUGCCUUACACAUGCAAGUCGAACGGUAACAGGUUAAGCUGGCGAGUUGCGAACGUGUGAGUAAUGUAUCGGAACGUGCCCAGUCGUGGGGGAUAACUGCUCGAAAGAGCAGCUAAUACCGCAUACGACCUGAGGGUGAAAGCGGGGGAUCGCAAGACCUCGCGCGAUUUGAGCGGCCGGUAUGAGAUUAGGUAGUUGUUGAGGUAAAGGCGCACCAAGCCGACGAGCUGUAGCUGGUCUGAGAGGACGACCAGCCACACUGGGAGUGAGACACGGCCCAGACUCCUACGGGAGGCAGCAGUGGGGAAUUUUGGACAAUGGGCGCAAGCCUGAUACAGCCAUGCCGCGUGCGGGAAGAAGGCCUUCGGGUUGUAAACAGCUUUUGUCAGGGAAGAACAGGUUCUGGCUAAUACCUGGUACUCAUGACGGUACCUGAAGAAUAAGCACCGGCUAACUACGUG
rnacentral:rRNA from 1 species